AUUGAACGCUGGCGGCAUGCCUUACACAUGCAAGUCGAACGGCAGCACGGGUGCUUGCACCUGGUGGCGAGUGGCGAACGGGUGAGUAAUACAUCGGAACAUGUCCUGUAGUGGGGGAUAGCCCGGCGAAAGCCGGAUUAAUACCGCAUACGAUCCACGGAUGAAAGCGGGGGACCUUCGGGCCUCGCGCUAUAGGGUUGGCCGAUGGCUGAUUAGCUAGUUGGUGGGGUAAAGGCCUACCAAGGCGACGAUCAGUAGCUGGUCUGAGAGGACGACCAGCCACACUGGGACUGAGACACGGCACUGACUCCGACGGGAGGCAGCGGUGGGGAAUGUUGGACGAUGGGCGGAAGCCUGAUCCAGCAAUGCCGCGUGUGUGAAGAAGGCCUUCGGGUUGUAAAGCACUUUUGUCCGGAAAGAAAGCCUUGACUCUAAUACAGUCGGGGGAUGACGGUACCGGAAGAAUAAGCACCGGCUAACUACGUG
rnacentral:rRNA from 1 species